UCAGAGCACGCCAGCGCGGUUUACUCCACGGUCCAUGGAUAUUCAUGGACCAUGAUUAAUGUGGAUAGAGUUUCAUGAUGCCUGAACGAAACACGCAAGCACGAGCUUUUCUGCAAUUUCACCCACAACUGAAAUCAGACUGGAUCGACGUUCCACGCUCCGUAUGCGGGAAGCAAGCAGAAUGACAGCGGAGAUUACACAGAGGUUUAAGAACGAAAUGACAGUCAUCCCUUUGAUCCUUUUCGCGAUCUAGAAUAACAUGGCAAACGAUUCAAUUCUUAUCUGACGCUUCAGGAGUAUAGUGGACUAACAAAAGGACUAACAAUAGGGGUGGAAACUGGAGUACAAAGGAACGCGAAUGAGAAAAGGACUUUUCGACAUCGUUGGAAUAAUCAAGCAACCGUUCGAUUUGGUCACAAGAAACGAAUCAAGGGUCGCUCAACGAUCUCGAAAAAUCAUCUAGGAUUUCAUGGAAAAUUUUCGAAAAGUCUUGGCAAGAUCCAUACACCAAAGUGUUCGAAGACCUCACGCACGUCCUCCGUGUCCACUUCGGAACGCAGAAACAAGAAGAGCAACAAGACUGUCGGAGGGCGCAAGAAAAGCAAGCAGAGGAGAAGCACCGAUGAAACAAGAAUAAGAAGAAGAGACGGGACGGGCGUACUCGGUGCCCUCGCAUUGGUUCCCCACAGACCACGAUGUGUGCACAGUCGCCAUGUUGAAUAUCCCCACCCUUGGACAUAAGUUGAACACCUACACACAUGACAUACGGCCGCGUCGACCAUUCGCUAAUGUCAUCUUAAAGGACGAGAGAAGAUCUUAAAGAAGAAUUGGCGAGAUGAUAAAUUUUCAUUAGAUAAUUUUAACGUUUAGACACUAGUUCGAUUUUCUUGGCUAAUUGAUAAAAUUUAUAGAUUUACUUAAUACGUCGAUCGCGUAAUUUCGUAAUUUAUAUAUUUUAAUUGCGAAGCUAUUACGAAAUUGAUUUCAAUCCGAUUCGCUCAAUCUAUUGUAUCCAAGUCCGACUAUCCUUUCUAACUCGCAUUUCUCUUAAUGGCGAGAAUGUCCGAUUGCCAGAGCCCGAUCCGAUCCGUCCGAUUGGAACGUAAAUUGGCACAAUCAGUGGCGAAAAAUCGUAAUUCGCCGCUCUGCGAACUCACAGGGAAUUUCACGGCCGAGAAACUGCAGGCGCUAUUUUAAUUGGUAUAUUUGCAUCUGCAAACACUAAUACUUAUAUCUUACGGUUAUAUAGAUAUCACCUUCG